rnacentral:rRNA from 1 species
UACGAAGGGGGCUAGCGUUGUUCGGAUUUACUGAGCGUAAAGCGCACGUAGGCGGAUCGAUCAGUCAGGAAUGAAAUCCCAAAGCUCAACUCUGGAACUGCCUUUGAUACUGUCGAUCUGGAGUAUGGAAGAGGUGAGUGGAAUUCCGAGUGUAGAGGUGAAAUUCGUAGAUAUUCGGAGGAACACCAGUGGCGAAGACGGCUCACUGGUCCAUUACUAACGCUGAGGUGCGAAAGCGUGGGGAGCAAACAGG